UUGACAAGCGUCCAGAGUGUGGAGAGUACCACCACCUAGUACAGGAGCUGCGGCGCAGUGAUUCUGAAUAUCAUUUCAAGUAUUUCAGGAUGACAAAGGCAUCGUUCGACAAGCUCCUGAGCUUUGUUUACCACAGGCUUGUUCAUCCUCCAACUCACAGGAGACCCAUCUCACCGGCAGAAAGGCUCGCGAUGACAUUGAGAUUUCUGGCCACAGGAGAGUACGUGGAGGAC
rnacentral:lncRNA from 1 species